rnacentral:rRNA from 1 species
UACGAAGGAUCCAAGCGUUAUCCGGAUUCAUUGGGUUUAAAGGGUGCGUAGGCGGUUUAAUAAGUCAGUGGUGAAAUCUCCGAGCUUAACUCGGAAAUUGCCAUUGAUACUGUUAGACUAGAGUUCAGAUGAUGUUGGCGGAAUGUGUCAUGUAGCGGUGAAAUGCUUAGAUAUGACACAGAACACCGAUUGCGAAGGCAGCUGACAAAACUGAUACUGACGCUGAUGCACGAAAGUGCGGGGAUCAAACAGG